UACGUAGGGUGCGAGCGUUGUCCGGAAUUACUGGGCGUAAAGAGCUCGUAGGCGGUUUGUCGCGUCGAAUGUGAAAACCCGGGGCUCAACCCCGGGCCUGCAUUCGAUACGGGCAGACUAGAGUUCGGCAGGGGAGACUGGAAUUCCUGGUGUAGCGGUGAAAUGCGCAGAUAUCGGGAGGAACACCAAUGGCGAAGGCAGCUCGCUGGGACGGUACUGACGCUGAGACGCGAAAGCGUGGGGAGCAAACAGG
rnacentral:rRNA from 1 species